rnacentral:rRNA from 1 species
UACGUAGGGUGCGAGCGUUAAUCGGAUUUACUGGGCGUAAAGGGCGCGUAGGCGGCCGGGCAAGUCUGGUGUGAAAGCCCAGGGCUCAACCCUGGAAGGGCACUGGAAACUGUCUGGCUUGAGUUCCGGAGAGGAGGGGGGAAUUCCCGGUGUAGCGGUGAAAUGCGUAGAUAUCGGGAGGAAUACCAGUGGCGAAGGCGGCUCUCUGGCCAGUUACUGACGCUCAUGCGCGAAAGCUGGGGGAGCGAACCGG